rnacentral:rRNA from 1 species
GAUGAACGCUGGCGGUAUGCUUAACACAUGCAAGUCGAACGGUACCUUCGGGUAUAGUGGCGGACGGGUGAGUAACGCGUGAGAAUCUAUCUUCAGGUCGGGGACAACAGUUAGAAAUGACUGCUAAUACCGGAUGUGCCGAAAGGUAAAAGAUUUAUUGCCUGAAAAAGAGCUCGCGUCAGAUUAGCUAGUAGGUGGUGUAAGAGACUACCUAGGCUUCGAUCUGUAGCUGGUCUGAGAGGACGAUCAGCCACACUGGAACUGAGACACGGUCCAGACUCCUACGGGAGGCAGCAGUGGGGAAUUUUCCGCAAUGGGCGAAAGCCUGACGGAGCAAUACCGCGUGAGGGACGAAGGCUCUUGGGUCGUAAACCUCUUUUCUCAAGGAAGAUUCAGACGGUACUUGAGGAAUAAGCAUCGGCUAACUCCGUG